ensembl:lncRNA
CCUGCUUCCAUCUGGUGAAAUGAUUGCCUUGAGGAGUCCACGUGGUACACUGAAGUGAGAUAAUUCCUUUCCAGAACUGGAGUAAUGUCAAGAGAAUUCUGUGGACUUUGAAUCCUCAGGCUCUCCAGAAAACAGAUGGCCAUUGUAGACUCUCCUACCUCUGACUUAUCCAUCGUGAUGGACACAAGGGCACAGCUUCCUGCUUCUCUCAUUCUUGGGCCUGGGAUGAUGAUGCAAUAAUCAUCAUCUGAAACAUUUCAAGCUGGAUGUUAGAGCAAAAGAGCAUAUGGCACGGAUGUAUUCAUUCUGAAAGCUUCAUUCUAUUGAUGGGUACUAUUUCAUGUGGAGGACCACUUCCAAUGUAGGCAAAUGAAGAAAAGUUUUCUACAUCAAUUUUAAUGGCCCCAUUGAGGAAGCAAAGAAAUACAUUAUUUUUCUUUGUUAUUGAAAAUAGAAAUGCCUGAGGGAAGACGGUGGGGCUAUGGCUUCCUGCUGACAGAGCAGGCAGAGUGGUUGUGGG